UUUUUGAAAAUAAUUUAAAGUCUAAUCUGCCCACUGAUAAAUUAUUAAAGGGCUGCAGUAUUUUGACUGUACAAAGGUAGCAUAAUCAUUAGUCUCUUAAUUGGUGACUUGUAUGAAAGAUUGGAUGAAAUAUAUACUGUCUCUAUUUAAUUUAUAAAAUUUAAUUUUUUAGUAAAAAAGCUAAAAUGAAUUUAAAAGACGAGAAGACCCUAUAGAGUUUAAUAAUUUAUUUAAUUAUUAUUAAUGUAUAAAUUUUAAAAUUAAAAUUGAAUAAAUUAUUUUGUUGGGGUGAUAGAAAAAUUAAAUUAACUUUUUUUUAUUUUAUACAUUAAUUUAUGAAUAAAUGAUCCAUUAAUAAUGAUUAAAAGAAAAAAUUACCUUAGGGAUAACAGCGUAAUUUUUUUUUUUAGUUCAAAUAGGAAAAAAAGUUUGCGACCUCGAUGUUGGAUUAAGAUAAAAAUUAAAUGCAAAAGUUUAAAAUUUUGAUCUGUUCGAUCAUUAAAAUCUUACAUG
rnacentral:rRNA from 1 species